ensembl:snRNA U6 U6 spliceosomal RNA
GUGCUCGCUUCGGCAGCACCUAUACUAAAAUUGGGACCAUCAGAGAAGAUGAGCAAUGGUCCCAGCACGAGGACAGCAUGCAGAUUCGCGAAGCCUUCCACGGGGAU